rnacentral:rRNA from 1 species
AUGAUUCUGAAUAUUUUCAGAAAAGGAUUAAUGACGUACAAACAGUUUAUCCUAGCUCUUGAAGAUGAUGUUUCACCAGCUGAAGCUGAGAGCAGGUACCAAGAAUACAAGACAGCAUACAUUACUACACAGAAACAUGCCUAUUUUGAUCUCCAUAAGGAUGAUACUAGGUUGAAAGAGAAGUACCACCCAACAAGCUUAUUAUCUGUUAUUGAAAGGAGGAAUGAGUUUUGCAAGGCUGCAGCGAAGAGUUUAAUUCUUGAUUUGCGAAGUGGAACUUUGGACCUUGGUCCUGGAAUGAUUGCUGAUGGAUCAAGCAAAUCAGGGAAUGUCAACUAUGGAAGCUCUGGGAAUGGUGAAGAUUAUGGCAACAAGAGAAGAAAGAAUGGAAGAGGUCCCCCAAAAGAACCUGGACCACUUUCGACUGCUCCGAAAGCUCAUCCAGUCAGUUCAAAGUAUCGACGAAUUCAAGCUGACAUAGAUCAAACUCUAGCUUUAGUGCGAAAGCUUGACAUGGAAAAGGGUAUUGUUGGAAACAUUCUGUCAAUUGGUGGUGAUCAUGGCAAGCCAGAUGAUGACAGAUCACAUGUUGGAUCCGCAGGGCCUUUAGUCAUUAUCCGGAGCUUAACUACUGUCAAGGGCCUUGAUGGUGUUGAGCUCCUUGACACUCUCCUUACCUACUUAUGGCGUGUCCAUGGUGUUGAUUACUAUGGCAUGUCUGAGAGGAGAAACGCAACUGGUUUUCGUCAUGUGAGAGCUGACAACAAAAUUGCUGAUGCGUUUAACAUCAGUGCUGCUGAUUGGGAGAAAAAACUGGAUUCCUUCUGGCACGAAAGACUGGUGAAUGGCGAGGAUCCUCUAGUUGUAUUGACUGCCAAGGACAAAAUUGAUACAGCAACUGUUGAAGCUCUGACACCUUAUGUCAAGAAAAUUGUGGAUGAGAAUUAUGGCUAUAAGUAUGGGUGUGGAGCCAUGGGGUGUGCAAAAGUUUUCCAUGCUCCUGAGUUUGUUCACAAGCAUCUAAAGCUCAAGCAUCCUGACUUGGUCUCUGUGUUAACUUUGGGAGUCCAAGAUGAUAUCUAUUUCCAAAAUUACAUGAAUGAUCCAAAUGCCCCAGGUGGAAAGCCAGUUAUGCAGCAAUCUGAACAAGACAGCGGCAGAAUGAGAAGAAUAGCAGAUGAGCAGGCAUUAGGCGCUUUUGAUGAGCAGGGUUCAAAUGCCCCACUUAUCCCUGACGCCCCUCCAACACUACUAAUCCCUGUGCCUGGUGCUGGCCUAUUGGGACCAUUUGUUCCUAUGCCACCAGAUAUGGCUGUUCAAAUGAUGCGAGAGCAAAGACCCCCAAGACCGAAUGGUGCUCAGCGUAGGAAGAAACCUUUGAUGCCUGAACCAAUGAUGCCCAUGUAUCCGCAUUUUCCGCUUGAUCCUCGUCCCUUGCGAAGGUACAAUGAUCUUGAUGCUCCUGAGGAAGAAGUCACUGCCAUUGACUACAGAAGCGUGUAG